rnacentral:lncRNA from 1 species
GUUCUUUUGUGGCUACUAUUCCAGUUUCCAAGAAGUCUGCUUGCAUGUCUGCUGUCUUAGCAAUAUUUGUUGCCUAAUCCUGUGGCCAUGGAUGCCACAAUGAUAGAUCACAUCUGGAGUCCACGGAUGGCCUAGACUCUCACAGCAUGGAGGACACAGGAUUCUUGUCCAAUGAGGCAGAUUAACUCUCAACAUGGAUGUGCCUUUAUUCCUACCACAGAAGAAUUUAUCAUCUUCACUAAGGAAAAGUCCAUCGACAUGAACAGACAAACCAUCCUCACCCCUUGUUGCAGCCACAUGAGAUGGAAUGAACGAUAUCUCCAGAAUAUUGAUCCAGAGGGAGGUUGGCCACUGAAAAUACCCUUGUUUUUUCAGCAUCAGAGAUGGUGUGUUAGUACGCCUAAGAAGAAGUGCGUGGUUGACAGUGAUUCGGUCACUGCCGUGGUGACAGGGCAAGAUGAGGAGCCCGGCAUGAGCACUGAGGAAGCGUUUUUGGUGCCUGGGGUUGGAACUCAUCACAAAGGAAUGAAGACUGAUGGUGAGUGUCUCCUGGAGCCUGGUGGUGAGGAAAAGGGAGAUGGAUGA